rnacentral:rRNA from 1 species
CCUACGGGUGGCAGCAGUGGGGAAUAUUGCACAAUGGGGGAAACCCUGAUGCAGCGACGCCGCGUGAGUGAAGAAGUAUUUCGGUACGUAAAGCUCUAUCAGCAGGGAAGAAAAUGACGGUACCUGACUAAGAAGCCCCGGCUAACUACGUGCCAGCAGCCGCGGUAAUACGUAGGGGGCAAGCGUUAUCCGGAUUUACUGGGUGUAAAGGGAGCGUAGACGGCGACGCAAGUCAGGAGUGAAAUCCCGUGGCCUAACCCAGGGACUGCUUUGGAAACUGUGUGGCUAGAGUGCAGGAGAGGCAGGCGGAAUUCCUGGUGUAGCGGUGAAAUGCGUAGAUAUUAGGAGGAACACCAGUGGCGAAGGCGGCUUACUGGACUGUAACUGACGUUGAGGCUCGAAAGCGUGGGGAGCAAACAGGAUUAGAUACCCGUGUAGUC